AACGAACGCUGGCGGCGUGCUUAACACAUGCAAGUCGAACGCGAAAGGGGGCUUCGGCCCCCCGGUAGAGUGGCGCACGGGUGAGUAACGCGUAGAUAAUCUACCCCUAUAUUUGGGAUAACAAUUCGACAGGAUUGCUAAUACCGGAUACACUUAUUGAGGCGCGAGUCUUGGUGAGGAAAGGUGACCUCUUCAUGAAAGUUACUGUAUAGGGAUGAGUCUGCGUACCAUUAGCGAGUAGGUAGGGUAACGGCCUACCUAGGCGACGAUGGUUAGCGGGUCUGAGAGGAUGAUCCGCCACACUGGAACUGGAACACGGACCAGACUCCUACGGGAGGCAGCAGUGAGGAAUAUUGCACAAUGGGGGAAACCCUGACGCAGCGACGCCGCGUGGGUGAAGAAGGCCUUCGGGUGUAAAGCCCUGUCAGGUGGGAAGAAGUGUACCAUGGCUAAUAUCCAUGGUAUUUGACGGUACCACCAAAGGAAGCACCGGCUGACUCCGUGCCAGCAGCCGCCGUAAUAC
rnacentral:rRNA from 1 species